UCGUGCUGAUGUUGAAAUAAAGUAUUUUCAAUAUUUUCGUAAACAUAACGAACAUCACUUCGAACCCCACGGUGAAUGGUGCACCCACGGUGAAUGGCGACCUGACGGUAGUAGCUCUGAUGGAAUUUUCCCGAAUUCCUUGUUUUAAAAAUUGAUUCCCCGAAUUUAUUGUUUUAAAAAUAAAUAAAUAAAAUACUAAGUUCUAAUUGGAUAAAGCAGUUUACUGGCUACAGAACAAAGCAUUUGAAUUGGAGUUUACGCUAAAAAAAAUUGGAAGGUACUUCUUGCUACGCUCUCGGAGAAGUUCUCGGACAAGAUCAUGGACUCAUUUCUGGUUUAUUUGAUGACUGAAACGUCAGGGCUUUCUCAGAUGAUACAUUACGCAUGGCGUGUGAUGCAUGAUGAACAUCAGCAGAAGAUGUGCUGUGGCAGAGUAUAAUAAAUAUAUAAUAAAAGAUUAAACAUUGAAACACAUUUCUUAGGAAUUCAUUAUUUGUUCAUUUUAUUUAAAAAAAGAAAACAAUUUUUAAUGGUA